rnacentral:rRNA from 1 species
AUUGAACGCUGGCGGCAGGCCUAACACAUGCAAGUCGAACGAGUGGCGGACGGGUGAGUAAUGUCUGGGAAACUGCCUGAUGGAGGGGGAUAACUACUGGAAACGGUCGCUAAUAACGCAUACCAUCGGAUGUGCCCAGAGGGGAUUAGCUGGUAGGGGGGGAAAAGGCUCACCUGGGCGACGAUCCCUAGCUGGUCUGAGAGGAUGACCAGCCACACUGGAACUGAGACACGGGCCAGACGCCUACGGUAGGCAGCAGUGGGGAAUAGUGCACAAUGGGGGCAAGCCGGAUGCAGCCAGGCCGCGUGUAUGAAGAAGGCCUUCGGGUGGUAAGGUACUUUCAGCGGGGAGGCGUUACCCGCAGAAGAAGCACCGGCUAACUCCGUGCCAGCAGCCGCGGUAAUAC